GAUGAAGAACGUAGCGAAAUGCGAUAAGUAGUGUGAAUUGCAGAAUUCAGUGAAUCAUCGAAUCUUUGAACGCACAUUGCGCCCUUUGGUAUUCCAAAGGGCAUGCCUGUUCGAGCGUCAUUUGUACCCUCAAGCUUUGCUUGGUGUUGGGCGUCUUGUCUCUAGCUUUGCUGGAGACUCGCCUUAAAGUAAUUGGCAGCCGGCCUACUGGUUUCGGAGCGCAGCACAAGUCGCACUCUCUAUCAGCAAAGGUCUAGCAUCCAUUAAGCCUUUUUUUCAACUUUUGACCUCGGAUCAGGUAGGGAUACCCGCUGAACUUAAGCAUAUCAAUAAGCGUAGGA
rnacentral:misc_RNA from 1 species